rnacentral:tRNA from 1 species
GUCCCUGUAGCGCAAUGGAGAGCGCGUUUGACUUCUGAUCCGAAGGUCGUGGGUUCGAAUCCCACCUGGUAUG